ACAGAGGUGUUCUCUCUUUUGGUCCUCAAAACAUCUUCCUCUUUUAAAAAGGUUUUUCCUUCCUCAUGUGGUUGAGAUUAUGUAAUGGACACAGAGGAAACAGACAUACCCUACCCUCCAUGAGCCCAUAGCCUCUUCAGGAAGGCCCCCCAGCCAUGAAGCUCCUUCAGCGUGAGAAGCACCAGGUGAAGUGGGGGCCAGAGAAGAGUGGCCUGGGCCUCAGGUCCGCGCUGGUGAGGGAAGAAGUGGGGCUCUCUGGAGGCCAGUGUGCUGAGCCCUGCAGUGUGAGGAGGGGUCACCUAAGUGAGUAGGGACAAGGGCAGGAGGGUAGCCUCUGUGAAGGCCCAGGAUGAUCGAGGGUGGCUCUCUGGAGGGAUGCACUAGUCUGAACGAGUGACAGGGGCCAGGUUGGGAGGGAUUGAGUCCCGCUGCUCACAGCACCCCCCCAACCAGUCUACAUCUCUGCAGCUCUCUCACCACCCUCCCUACUUCAUUGAUCUCCAUUGCACUUAGCAACAUCUGACAUUUGCAUAUUUCACUUGCAUAUUUCUUUGUCAGACUCUUGCAUGUAAACUUCACGAAAGCAAGUGUUUUACAUGUUUUAUUUACAGUGGUAUCCACAGUACCUAGGACAAUGGAUAGAUACAUAGAGGACACUCGACUAAUAUUUCAAUGAAUAAAUGAAUGUUUGAAUGAGAAGAAAACUCAGUAUCAGAGUGAAACAAACAAGAAAUUACUAAAGUGAAUUGAUGAGAGCUUUUUGGGGGAAAUUUUCUCGUUCCCGGGACGUGGCGUGUGCACGUACACACAGCCAAGUAAAUGCUAUGGUGAAAUUAGACUUACUUUCUUACAUCUUCAGGCUGUCUCAUAAAGUAUUUGAGACUCUAGGUUUUUAGCAAUAAACUUGCUGAUGCAGCUGAGUUAUAAUAUGGCAGAAUGGAUUUGGGCACUAGUGUUAUGCUUGAAAUGUAACAAUGCGGUUGGUUUCUAAAGGAGUAGUUGGUGACAUGGUGAAAUCACUGGUUGCCCCGAUAGGAUAAGGCCAGCAGCCCCUGUGAUCUAGCCAUGUUGAUAAGGAUAAGGAUUCCACCCAGCUGUUUUCUUUAGGGAGCUGCCCUGGCUAUCUCCCUAUAAGAGCCUAAAGAAACAGUACAAGCAGCCACCAUUUCACCAGCCAGGACUGCUCCUGGAAAUGCCAUCUCCCACUGGGCAAUAAAGGACUCCACUUUUUUCAGGAUCUGCCUGUGCCCAACCCUUAUCUAGAACAGAAAGAAACCAUAACCCAUAAUUUCCCCCGAGGAUUCCAACACCUCCCCACUCACUCCCCUAUGAGUCUCAGGAAGACAGGUUUGUUUUCCUGUGAGAAUCCGUGUCUCUUUGCAAAAGGUCUGUUUUCCCAAAAGAAAAGGAAUUUGCUUCAGUUCUGCUUCUGGAACUAGAAAGCCAGGUCUUCACCAAACUCAUGUACAAAGGGAUAAAGUCACAGUUGCCAUGACCUCACACUAACAUCAACAAAUACUUACUGGGUGUAGGACAUUGUGCUAGCUGCUGUGAGGGAAGAAGAAUGGAUAUCUUUGCAAAGAUCUUAAAAGAUACAGACUCAUUUUCCAUUAAAAACUAAUUACUUGGCCAAGCAUGGUGGUUCAUGCCUGUAAUCCCAGCACUUUGAGAGGCCGAGACAGGAAGAUCCCUUGAGCCCAGUUCAAGACCAGCCUGGGCAACAUGGUGAAACCCCAUCUUUACAAAAAAUACAAAAUUUAGCCAGACUUGGUGACUUGUGCCUGUGGUCCCAGCUACUUCAGAUGCUGGGAUGGAUGGAUCACUUGAUCCAGGGAGCUAGAGGUUGUAGUGAGCUGAGAUUGUGCCACUGCACUCUAUCCUGGAUGACAGAACAAGGCCCUAUCUCAAAAAACAAAAUAUACUAAGCACUGAGCUCUGUGAGGUCGUCAGUAUCAUCAAGAGGCUUAGCUUUGUAUGAGCUCCAUUCUGAGAACCUGGGAGGGUUGAGUCUGUGCCAAUAUCCUGCUGUGCUGUGGGAUGGAGCCAAGCCUUGACCUUUUGGUUUGCCACCAGAAUAAAGCUGCAGAUAGAAAAUGUGGGGGGGAGAGUGGAAGAAGGAAUCUCAGAGGGGAAGAAAGGACCUCCAGCUUCAAUUUGAGACAAUUUUACAAGAAACGUAAUGAAGGCUAUGCACCACAUUCAGGUGUAUUCCAGAUCAGGGGUUGGCAAACCGUGACCCACCCCAGCUUUUGUAUGUACCGUUUGAUGGGAAGGCAGCCACCAUUCAUUUUUUUCUUGUUAUCUAUGAUGCUUUUGUGCUUCAGAAGUAGAGCUGAGCAGUUAUGAUACAUACCGUACGGCCCAAAAGUUAAAACUAUUUACUAUCUGGUCCUUUACAGAAAACGUUUACCAACCUUUGGUUUCGAACAUGAACAAGAGUUCUGCCAGUCUGACGUGUACUUUUGAUCAGACGAGUAAGGUUACUCCAGGGAUUUCCAGCUGUUUCCUUCCUACCUAUUUCCCCUCUUUGAAAUUGCCUGUAAUUCCCCCAGCUGCACUCUCCUGUAACAUUAGGCCGAGAGAUGGAAGGCUGUGUGCACUUGGAGCUACACACAUCUGUGCAGUGGGUUACAUGAAGGGGAGAUUAACACCAGCUUCCUUUUUUUAAGACAGGGUCUUGCUCUGUCACCCAGGCUGGAGUGCAACGGCAUAAUCAUGGCUCAUUGUAGCCUCAAACUCCUGGGCUCAAGCAAUCCUCCCACCUCAAUCUCCCGAGUAGCUAGGACUACAGGCAUGCACCACCAUACUGGGAUAAUUUUUUAAUAUUUUUCUUGAGACAAGGUCUCACUGUGUUGCUCAGGCUGGUCUGGAACUCCUGAGCUCAAACAAUCCUUCUGCCUUGGCCUCACAAAGUGCAGGUAUACAGGUAUGGGCCACCGUGCCUGGCCAACACCAGCUUCUUUAGAAAUGAAAGACCAUGUGAAUACAUUUUAAGAAAAGCAGUUUCCUGUAUUCUUCUGUAAACAUUGAGAAUUUAUUUUAUUUUUCCUCCAAUGGCCUAUGUGUUUGAUCAAUAAUCACAGUAAUUUUCAUAACAUUGUAUGGUUUGGCAUGACAUAAGUAAAAAUAAACCCAGAAGCCAUCAUUCUCAGCAAACUAACACAGGCACAGAAAACCAAACAGCGUAUGUUCUCACUUAGAAGUGGAAGUUGAACGAAGAGAACACUUGGACACAGAGAGGGGACCAACACACACCGGGGCCUGUCGGAGGUAGGGGGCGAGGGGAGGGAGAGCAUUGGGACAAAUAGUAUUGUAACCGAGGUUUAAAACCUAGAUGAUGGGUUGACAGGUACACCACACCACCACGGCACACGUGUAUCUAUGUAACAAACCUACACAUUCUGCACUUGUAUUCCAGAACUUAAAAUAAAAAUAGCUAACAUGUAUUGAGCUCUUACUAAAUGUCAGUCCCCAUUCUAAGAGUUUUAUGUGAGCUGUCCUAUUGAAUCCUCAUUAUUGCCGCAAGAGAUAAGGACUCUCAUCACCGUCAUUUUACAGAUGAGCAAACUGGGGAGGAGAGGGGUUAAGUAAUUUGCCCAUGGUCAGACACACAGUAAGUAGAGAAGCAGGGUUUCAAACCGCUCCUGCGCCAUGACCUUGGCCACUACAUUCUGUACCGCUUGCCUCAAGAAAUGUGAAAAUAAACAACUAAAAAAUCUAAUUGGGAAGUAAAUUCUCAUCAGACAUGCAACAUUUAAGUAUUUGUCAAGUGCUAAUACCAAAUGCUAAUACGGAAGGACAAUGUUAAUUUUUAUCUACAUUGAUCUAUGAUUUUUCAGAUAAAUAUCUUGAAACUACACUUUUAAAACCUGUAACUUUUAGUAAUUUCUAUUCUCUUCUGGGUCUUUAUUGGACUUUGAUUUCUUUCUUUCUUUUUUAUUGGGAAGCGUUUCUAAGUCAAUCUUAUCAAACUCAACUAUAUAAGAUUGUCAUAAACUAGUGAUUUUCUUCUCAUUACAUCUGAGACGCAGACAGUGAGAAGAAGCAAGACAACUACAAUCUUUGUUUUUAUAUUUUAUUUAACUAUAUUUGCCAAGAUACUUGCAAAGCCUGUGGAGGUCUAGGAACAGCAUCUCCAGUCAACAAUGUUUCCUUUCUUGCGCUUCAAUCUCUAGUGAUUGAUCAGGGGCCUCCAAGUAGCAAGUUCUUCUUUGUUUGGGGAAGGGAUCAGUGAACAAUGUAACUCGUUCCUGACAUUUCAGUUAACAACUUUGAAAGAAAAGGUUUUUAAAAUCCAAUGAAACUCCUAAAAAAUAAUUGACUUUGCUUCUGCCCCCAUGUUCUCCUCCAAAGAAUCACACCUGAAAGUUUCCAAUGAUUCCACCAGCGAAUUUCCCUCCUGUUUUAAUUAACAUUGUAGGGUGGAGGUCCUAUACCCUGGAGACUUUUAUAUCUGUGUUUGAUGUUACAACAAAUAGAAUUUGAAAAAAAAAUAUAUAUAUAUAUAUAUAUAUUUUUUUUUGAGACGGAGUCUUGCUCUGUCGCCAGGCUGGAGCACAGUGGCACAGUCUUGGCUCACUGCAACCUCCGCUUCCUGGGUUCAAGCAAUUCUUCUGCCUCAGCCUCUCAAGUAGCGGGGACUACAGGCGGGUGCCAAAUGCCUGGCUAAUUUUUGUAUUUUUAGUAGAGCUAGGGCUUCUCCAUGUUGACCAGGCUGGUCUUGAACUCCUGACCUCAGGUGAUCCAUCUGCUUUGGCCUCCCAAAGUGCUGGGAUUACAGGCAUGAGCCACUUUGCCCAGCCAGAUUCAAUGCACUCUCUAUUAAAAUACCACUGGCAUUCUUCAUGCAAAUAGCAAAAAAUGACCGGGUGCAUGGUGGCUCAUGUCUGUAAUCCCGGCACUUUGGGAGGCCGAGGUGGAUGGAUCACUUGAGGUCAGGAGUUCAAGAGCAGCCUGGCCAACAUGGUGAAACCCUGUCUCUACUAAAAAUACAGAAAUUAGCCAGGCAUGAUGGCGUGCCUGCUUGUAGUCCCAGCUACUUGGGAGGCUGAGGUGGGAGAAUCACUUGAACCCAGGAGGUGGAGGUUGCAGUGAGCUGAGAUUGUGCCACUGCACUCCAGCCUGGGCAACAGGGUGAGACUCCAGUCCCCCCGCCACCAACCCCCCGUCAAAGAAAAAAGAGAAAGAUAUAUUGUUCAGCAUGGUGACUAUAAUUAAUGAAGAAAUAUAUUGAAAAAUACAGACUAGUUCGAAGGUAGUGAGUUAUCGCAACUGGUUGUUGAGUCAAUUGUGGAUUGAACUUUUUGUUCUACUCUUUCCCUGCUUCUUACUGCUGCAUUUGACUAGUCUUAAAGAGAAGGAAAAAGGAAAAAUAAAGAAAAAUACAUAGAGGACAUUCAGUGUUUCCACUACAAAAAUGAAAAAUAACUGUUAAGUAGUGCUUUUGAUGAUUCACCAAUGAACAUAUACUUGAAAUGUUAUGUUUCAAAAAAAAAACAAGAAAUGUUGUACAUGAUAAAUACAUAUAGUUUUUUUCUGUCAGUUUGAAACAUUUAGAAAUUAAAGAAUAGAUAAUGUGAAACACAAGCUAUUUAUGUAGGUAGUUUAAAAUUUUUUAGUAGCCAAAUUAAAGAACCAACUCAGGAGACUGGUGAAAUUAGUAAUGUUUCUUUUUUUUUUUUGAGACGGAGUUUCGCUCUUGUUACCCAGGCUGGAGUGCAAUGGCAUGAUCUCAGCUCACCACAACCUCCGCCUCCUGGGUUCAGGCAAUUCUCCUGCCUCAGCCUCCCGAGUAGCUGGAAUUACAGGUGCGCACCACCAUGCCCAGGUAAUUUUUUGCACUUUUAGUAGAGACGGGGUUUCACCAUGUUGACCAGGAUGGUCUCGAUCUCUUGACCUAGUGAUCUACCCACCUCGGCCUCCCAAAGUGCUGGGAUUACAGGCGUGAGCCACCGCGCCAGGCCCAAUAAUGUUUCUUACUUAACCUAAUAUCUGUGAUGGACUGAAUUUGCGUUCUUUUCCCUUGCCAAAUUCAUAUGUUGAAACCCUCACUCCCAAUGCGAUAGUUUUAGGAUGUGGAUCUUUAGAGAGGUGAUUAGGAUUAGGUGAGGUCAUCAGGGUAGAGUCCUCAUGAAUGGAAUUGGUAACCUUACAAGAGUCACGAGGGAGCUUGAUUCCUCUCUCUGCCCUCUCCCAUGUGAAGAUAUGACUUCUGGGCAGUGUGCAGCCCAGAAGAGGGUCCUCACCAGAACCCAACCAUGCUGACAUCUUGAUCUUGGACUUCUGGCUUCUGGAACUGUGAGAAAUAACUGUGCGUUAUGAUAAACUACACACAAAAGAAAAAAGAUGUGAAGCACAGCUCUGGACCUCACAUCCUGAGCUCAAAUCCUGGCUGCUGCUUCCUAGCUGGGAGUCCUAGGCCAAAUGAGUCUGGCCCGUGUCUCAGCUUCCUCACCAGCAAAACGGGGGAGUGCUGAGCCGGCAGUUCAAGGCAUCCUGCUCCUGGCCACCCGGCCCCGCCUCGUCCCCUCCUGAGUGCACACGCACCUGUUUGAGGAUGUUCUGCUCCCUCAUCAGCUUCUGCCGUUCCC